rnacentral:rRNA from 1 species
CCAGGUUGAUUCUGCCUGACGUAGACGCUAUUCCCUAAGAUUAACCCAUGCAUGUUUUUGAAGAUUUAUUAUCUGAAAAAUGGACUGCUCAGUAAUACUCACUUUAUUUUAUGUAUACAGUAGAUAACUACGUUAAAGUGUAGAUAACAUGUAUACAGUAAGAGUGAGACCUAUCAGCUAGUUGUUAAGGUAAUGGCUUAACAAGGCAGUGACGGGUAACGGUAUUACUUUGUAAUAUUCCGGAGAAGGAGCCUGAGAGACGGCUACUAAGUCUAAGGAUUGCAGCAGGGGCGAAACUUGACCUAUGGAUUUUAUCUGAGGCAGUUAUGGGAAGUAAUAUAUUAUUGUUUCAUAUUCUAAAAAUAUAUGAGGUGAUUAAUUGGAGGGCAAAUCAAGUGCCAGCAGCCGCGGUAAUACUUGUUCCAAGAGUGUGUAUGAUGAUUGAUGCAGUUAAAAAGUCCGUAGUUUAUUUUUAAGAAGCAAUAUGAGGUGUACUGUAUAGUUGGGAGAGAGAUGAAAUGUGACGACCCUGACUGGACGAACAGAAGCGAAAGCUGUACACUUGUAUGUAUUUUUUGAACAAGGACGUAAGCUGGAGGAUCGAAGAUGAUUAGAUACCAUUGUAGUUCCAGCAGUAAACUAUGCCGACGAUGUGAUAUGAGUAUUUGUAUUACAUAAUAGAAAUUAGAGUUUUUUGGCUCUGGGGAUAGUAUGAUCGCAAGAUUGAAAAUUAAAGAAAUUGACGGAAGAAUACCACAAGGAGUGGAUUGUGCGGCUUAAUUUGACUCAACGCGAGGUAACUUACCAAUAUUUUAUUAUUCUGAGAGAAUCUCUGAUUUGAGAAUGAUAAUAGUGGUGCAUGGCCGUUUUCAAUGGAUGCUGUGAAGUUUUGAUUAAUUUCAACAAGACGUGAGACCCUUUUAUUUAGACAGACACAACCAGUGUAGGAAGGAAAGGAUUAAAACAGGUCCGUUAUGCCCUCAGACAUUUUGGGCUGCACGCGCAAUACAAUAGAUAUACAAUCUUUAUGGGAUAAUAUUUUGUAAGAGAUAUUUGAACUUGGAAUUGCUAGUAAAUUCUAUUGAAUAAGUAGAAUUGAAUGUGUCCCUGUUCUUUGUACACACCGCCCGUCGCUAUCUAAGAUGAUAUAUGUUGUGAAAUUAGUGCAAACUACUUGAACAAUAUGUAUUAGAUCUGAUAUAAGUCGUAACAUGGUUGCUGUUGGAGAACCAUUAGCAGGAUCAUAGCCAGAAAGUAUAAGUUGUUGUUAUAUUACCCACACAUGGGAUCAAUAGGAUACCAUAACGAUGAAGGUCGUAGCAGAAUACGAAAGUAUACUUACCGAAUUUAUAUUCACGUAUAGAUUACCCUUUGAACUUAAGCAUAUCACUAGAAGGAGGAAAAGAAACUAACUAGGAUUUCUUUAGUAGCAGCGAGUGAACAAGAAUCAACCCUUGAUUGUAAUCCUUCACUGGAGAUGUAAAUCACUAUUUUAUUUCUUAUUUAUAAAGAAUAUGCAUUGUUCGUUAGAUAAUAAGAUAGUAAAUAUUCUUGAGUAGGGCUGCUUGGUAGUGCAGUUUGAAUACAGGUAGAAUGAGAUAUCUAAGGUUAAAUAUAAUGGUAUACCGAUAGCAAAUAACUACUGCGAAGGAAUUUGUGAAAAUGUGUGGGAUGUAGCCUUAUUUUUAAGGACCCGUCUUGAAA